CUCGCUGCAGAGAGGUGCGCGGAGCGGGCAGCGCCCAUCGCACGAAGCAGAUCCCGCAAAUAGCCCGGGAGCGCGGGGCCAGGGGGAGCGCCGGAGCCAUUUUGCAGACCUUGGGCUGGAAGCGGCCGGAGCGGCGGGAGGAGGGAGCGGGAGGAGAGCGCGUUGUGUCGGCAGCGAGCUUAGCUCGGAGCCCCGGCUGUCCCGGCGCUGCCUCCCCCGCUCUGUCCCGCGGCCCGGCCCCGCGUGGAGGCAGCGGGUGCCCCACCGGAGCUCCGUGCACGGCUCGGGUUGGUGGCAGCGGCCCCGCGCUGUCCCCGCGGGGACGUCCGGGGCUGCGCGGUGCCUCGUGCCACGGGGGAUGGUGGGUUUUCGGGGCUCGCCGUGUAAUUCCAUCAGCCUGUGUAUCUGAGGGAUGAGGUCAGUGUGUGUGCGUGGAGGAUUUGGGGUCGGUCACCUCCUAUGCCGUCCGCACGGCCCAGGUUGGAGGCUGGGAGCAGCGGUGUGCCCGGGGUGGCUCAGAUCCCUCCCUCCGUGCGUGCGCUGUGCAGAGCGACGGGCAGAGUUUUGGGGUCGCUGCUGUGAUUUCCCCUGAGAGCUGACAUAGGGACCUGAAUGAGGAAAUUCUUUAGCUUGUGCUUAAAUGCCACGUGAGAUUUCGCUUUACCUUCGCAGGCUUUUCACUCUGUGCCGGGCUCUCUCCAGCGGGCGCCCACCAUCCCCGUGUGCUGUGCAGGAGGUGGGGCUCAGAUCACAGUACCACGAGCGCCGUAACCGUACUGCUUAUCAUCUGGUGCUUUGAGCCCUUUGUUAACAAAGUGCAGCUUCUUAAAUGUUAAUCACUGACAGGAGUCGUCACAUGAAAAGAAAGGAGUUAUUUUAUAAGCACGGAGCAUUACAUGCUAAUCUCUGCAUGAUGAUGUUUCCUGCAAUGAGGAAAUUGCACGGCUGAGGUCGGCGUGGUGUUGGUGUCAGUAUCGCUUCCUUGAGGUGCGUGCACAGCGGCACACCCAGGGCUGGGACCGAACCCACUGCAUAGCCCUGGGCUGUGGCUACAGGAAGCGUUCGGCCAUACAGAAGCCCAUUUGGUGCCCGGAGCUGGGGGUGAGCAGGGGUGGAGGAAGCUCCAGUGUUGCCCUAGAGCUACAAGAUGAGCUUCUCUUCCUUUGGGGAACAGCUAAUGGAAGGUCCGGCUCUGUGUGCAUCCCCUGGAGCACAGGACAGCUUAUGGAGGUGCCCUGGUGCUUUACAUAACCCUCCUUAACUCCCUGUGAUUCCACCUGGACUAGUAAUAUUUCACUGGCUUUAUUUUUCAGCAUCUGAAUUGACUCCAUGUAACCACAGCCUUUCCUGCAUUAGGAGGCUUUGCUGCCCAUGGCAUGAAGGGGGAUGGCGUGGUGCACACAGACACCACAUCACCAGUGCUGCUCUGGAGCAGGGCGUGCAUCCCUGGCAUGGCAUGGAUGAUAGAGCUCAAACCCAGUGUAGGUAAAUCCGAUUUUGGUGCUUCCAGCUCGGAGCAGCAGCCAUGGGCUGACGCUGUUUGGGAGCAGCCAUGCUACAAGUUCUCUCUUUGGUUUUAAAAAAUGAAGAUAAACCAGCAAAACCACAACGUGCAGGGAUUCUUCAUUGCCUGAUGUACAACCAGGCUCCAAGUGCCCCCCAGACAGCAGGAAGCAGCUCGGUAAAUGAGCCAGGCCCUCCAGCUGCUCCUCUGGCAGAAGAAAAGAUCGUACAAUCAAUCAUAGAAUCACAGCGUGGUUGGGCUGGAAGAGACCUCAAAGCCCCAGCCCCAGCCGUGGGCUUGUCUCCCCCCCCCCCACCCCCCCCAGAUCAGGCUGCCCAGGGCCCCAUAUCAUGGCCUUGGGCACCCACAGAUGGGGCAGAGCUCUCCUUUGGUGGUUUCUGCCCACUCGUGUCUCUCUUCCCACGCAGCUCCCCCCAGUGGGAAGGUGCCUGCUGGGCUCACCGCUCCCACCCCUGCCUCUGCUGGGCCUGUCCCUGCCUGUCCCAGAGCUGCUGUGCUGCGGGCUGCUGGCUUUGCACAGGGAUUAAGAGUUCCUGGAAGCAACGCGCAUUAUGGCACUGAGCAGCUACAGCGGGGUUAAUGGAGGGCGUUGCUGGAAACCUGGGGGUUUGCUCAGGUCUGUGCAUUCAGAGCACUGCUCAGAGCGAUGAGGUUCUGCCUGAGCUCGGAGGCCCGGGGAGGUGCAGUCUGUUAGGCAGGUGCGGUCAGGUGCGGGCAUACGGAACAGAAGAAUCAAGAUAAGCACUCAGAAGUGCUUAUUCCACCUGGGAGUUUUGUCCGAGCUUGUUUUUGGAUUAAGCUGAGCAAGCAGGGCCAUCCUUUGGAUGGAGCUCUGUUGUUUCCACCAGACAACCUUCUGCUAUGCUGGCGUGAGCCUGGGCUCCUUUUCCCUGGCUGACACUUGUUUAACGAUGGGUAAACCCAAGGAGGGUUUUCCAGCUGCUCUAGCUGCCUUGCAGUUGAGUUCCUUGGUUUCAGCUGCUGAGUCCUUUGUUUGGGUCAGAUCUGCAGGGAAUUGGGCAAAUGCAGGACUGUGCAGCAUCCGACCAAGCCAGGUGGCGCAAUGCUUUUGUUUUAUAUUCCAAACGAAAGGCAUUUUGCAGCCAUUAGGGUCCCCACUCCCGGGGUCUGAGAGGCUGAACUUUAUCCAGCAGGAGUUCCCCCUCGUGCAGCUGCAGCACCGCCCAGCCUGCCCCCAGCUCUGCGCAUUGCUGGAGUGCCUGCACGGCUAUUUUUGUGCUGCGCAUGGGGCUGCAGUCAAGUGCCGCUUCUCUAUUGCGGACAGCUGAGAGUUUCCAUAACCUUUGACUGAGAAAUAACCGUAUCUUUCCUUGCAGCCACACUGCACAACAGGCAGCACAUAAGAUAACAUCAGUAUUACUGUACUAAACCCAUUUUUGGCACAUCGCUUGCUCCGGUGUUGCACUUCUUUCCACUGGCUGUAAAGAAGAGGGAAUAAAUGGCACAUUCAGACCAUGGCAGAAAUGAAUAGCCUGAUGUAGUUUCCCUCUGUUUUGCUUAGGGAUUACUCAUUAAUUAACCUUUUUGUUUUUAUUUUAAACUCUCCCAUGGGUUUAUCUAACACCCUUCAGACACCGCUGCAGGCGGAGCACCAGGAGUCAGCCGUGCCUGGCACAACCCAGGGAGCAGGCUGGUGGCAGGUCACCGCUGCCAAGGUCAGCAGCUCCGGUGCUGCAGGAAAGGAAAACCCUCUGAAACACAGUCUGCUCCUUUUCCCAGCCGCCUCAGAAACAAGGAAGCAAACACAGCAACGAUAGUGUGUGCCUCCGACACGGUGCUUGUUCUGCAGAUGCUUCUCACACACCCCCUGAGGAUAUAGGUGUCCACGUUCAUUGCAUCUGCUGGAGCUCUGCCACGUGCUCCAUGGCUGUGUGUAAUGAAUGCUGGCAGCAGUCAGUCUUUCAGCAAAGGUGUACCUGUACUGGGACUGUUCAUGCCCUCUUACUCUUUGCAGGUUGGUUGUCAGGGUGAGAAAAGCAGGGCCUGGAGCUAUUCGGCUCCAUGCUGUCUCGGCUGCUAUCUGCUGCAUGCAGGUAUCUGGUUUGUAUCACAAAACAAGGUGAUGCACAUUAAAACAGGUAAGAUAGUAAUGCAUAUACCCUAUGCACUAAGGGACAGAUGCAGUCUGACAGCUUUCACCCCCCCCCCCCUUCAGUUUCAGUUUGCUUUGUUUUUGCCAAAGCUAACCUCAAGCUGCCCAAUAGCACAGAGGACUGCUGAGUGUUAAUUGGGAACCGUGGCAUGCAGUAGCCUGCCGAAUCAGAAUUUUCCUCCUGAGAAAACUUGCAGUCAAAUUCUUGACUGUCUGUGCAAACUUGUUUGCUGUAAUAUUUGCUAUAAUGUGCUGUGUUUGCUUUAAGUCUGCCCACAAAGUAGCAUCCGAGCGUUAGGGCAGCAUCUCAGAGCAGCGUAUGGCCAUAUCCUUAACAUGUCACGGGAGGAGGACUCGUUUGCAGGCUGUUCUAUAAAGCACAACCAAGUCAGUACGCAGGUCUGACCCCCCUGGGCCGUAGGUCGCCGUCCCGUUGGCUUGCCAGCACGAGCGCAGGACACUGACGAGUCUGUUUAUAAAACCCCUGGGUGGAAAAUAACCAGGAGAGGGGUUCCUGCCAAGUCAGAGCAGGAAAGGUGCUGCAAAUAGCGCAGCACUGUGCCUCCCAGCGAGCAGCGUCCCGGUGCGGAGGCAUUUCUGUUUAUGUAACCUGAAGCAGGCUCUGCUGCUCGGGCUGCGUUUCCAGACUGUUGCUGGGAGCCAGCAAACCAUGCCUCAGGCUGACAACCUUGUUUUCCAAGUAACUUCUGAACUUGUCAUCCGUGGAAUCCGUGGAGGGAGGUCUGCUGCCCCUGCUUGGAUUCUGCCGUGAGUGGGGGGCAACCAGACCGUGGCAGGGGGGUUGGAACUGGGUCAUCUCUAGGUCUCUUCCAACCUAAGCCAUUCCAUGAUUCUAUGAUAAGAGUGAAUCGGAUCUUUCCUGGAAGCACCCGAGCAGACAAAGAGCUGAAGUGGGUGGUUUUCAAACACCAAAUCCAAAGAGACUGUGGGGAAGAGCCUCUUCCAUUUGGAGUGAGGGCACCUUGUGUUCAAGUCAGUGCUGCUCUGAGUGAGCAACAGAUGAAGCUCAGGCUGAGCCAUGCUUGGGAGGAGGUACAAGCUCUUCCAUUCAAGGUCUGGAGAUGUUGUUACUUGUGAAAGAAUACUCAAAAGUGAGCUUCAACACUGCAUGUGAAGGAGAGCUUACAAGUUUUGUUUGAAGCAGUCACCAACAGGAGAGUGCCAUAGCCUCAUGCACAUCCGUGACACCACUGACCCUUGUGUGGGCUUCAUUCAAAGCCAACAAAAACUCUGCUGCCCUGGGUAGCACCUCAAGCUGCUAGCACAGCCAAGCAUGGUUGGAGGAAGUUUUUGUGCCUUUUUAUGCUCCUGCUCUUGAGAUGCCCCUGUUCAGGUCCUCUGCGCUUGUGUGGUUCAGCAGGUGGUGCUUGCUUGGUGGCCCUUAUUUCUUGCAGCCAUCCCGCUCUGAGCGCUGCAGAUUUACCCAGCCAACCUGAGCACAGCAAAGAGGAGGUGGAUGAGGGCAGGUAAGUGUGCUCCACCCAAGAGAUAGCUGCAGGCAGCCAUGUGAUACACACCAACGCCCAGGGCCACGCUUGGCUGGCUGCAGGCACUCAUGCCUUGGCCCUGCUGCAGUGUGGGCUUGCUCCGGUGCUGGGAUGGCUUUGCAGAGUGCUGCACGUUUACAAGGUGUAGCACACUUUACAGACCUAAAAAAAGCCCCAACGCCCCCAGGUCAAUGCUUCUAUGUUGCCCGAGCAUGAUGUCUUGUGUCUGCUCCUCAGAAGUUGAUGACACAACAUACAAUGACCUGGGUGCUUUAGAUACCAAGUAUUGAGAAGCCAAACAUGAAUGGCAAGGAGCUCUCACACCUUCCAGGCAUAAAGAGGACUUGGAAAUCACAGCUGUUUUCUUCCUGUGGCAAAAGGUAUUUAAUGCGUAGCAAAUAUCAGAUUGUUGGUAAUCUGGGAGGAGCACAUUUAAGCAUUUGUAGCAUUGAAUCACCUUCUGCGUACAAAAAAAAAUAGCGAGAUAACAUUGUUUCCAACAUUUACACCCAACUUUUUUCAAGCAGUCCCUCUAAGAAUUAGAUUAUGCAGUUCGUUCUGGGCCAAAGUCCAGAUAUGACUAAGUUUGGCAGAGGCAGCCAGCUGGCUAAGAGCUUGGCUGUAAGUUGGUACAUGUUUCUGAAGACUCUGACUGGGGAACCUAAGAGUCCAACUGCGUCUCCAUCAGUGCCUCAUCCCAUUCCCAUGAGAUGUAAAAGGAAGGGAACAGAUCGAAUACAAACACUCUCUGCAGGACUGAAAUGAUGCUCUUCAUUGGAGCCCAUGCAAGGAGAGGGGGUACUCACAGCCCCCAAAAGAUUUCAGCCAGGAUGCUGAUGUUACUGCUUUCUGAAAGAUACUUGUGCACGGUGCCAGCAUCUUGUAGGGGCAUGUUUGGGAAUUUAUCUGUGUCUGUGGAGUUUUCUUGCCAAAAAUGAUGUGUGUUACGCACAGAUGACCUUAUAUCUCCACACUUGAAAGGCUUAUAAACAGACAUUUCUGACCUGAUUAAAAAUGUUCCAGUGAAAGUUUUCAAGUGGACUUCAGACUCAUUACUUAGAAAAUACAGAAAUGCAACUCGUUAGGAGGGGUUUGUAAUGACAAGGGAUGACAUAAGAGAGCCACAGCGACCGUAGAGCAGAUGUCUGCAGAGGACACGCCAGGCUGGAGAUGUUGCUUCUACAGUGCAUCACCGCAAUGAAACACCAUGAGCUGAUGUCCACCCGUGCCAAGGGGAGAUUACAAGGGCAUAUCGGACUACGAACAAACACAGUUUUGGACACAGUGUAAGGAUAUGAAAACAAUGGCAUACAAUUUAUUUACAGAGCUUUCUUACAACUGCACUACUAAGACAUUUUAGAGCUAACUGGGUCCCUAUGCUCCCUAUCUACUCUAUCUCUUGCUGGACGAGUCUCUCUCUGGGCACAUCACACCAGACGGGCGCUGUCAGCUGGCGCUCUCCUCUUCAGUCCAGUUCUUCCUCGGCUGUUUUGGACAUCAACUCUGUCAAAGCUCGGCUUACAGGAGAAGAGUAACUGAAAUGCAAAGGAGAAAACUCAGUCGCCCUCGUGUCAAAACAAAAAAUCAGAAGGAUAAGAGAAGAAAGACUUUGAAUUGCAAAAACAAAGAAACCUGUAUAGAAAAACAUCUGUGAUUUGGUUUCAACCUCCAAUUCAGGGCAAAGCAUUCAGAGACUGUCAGAGCCCCGCCGGUGUUUCCACCCGAGAUGUGCCCUCAGUGAUGAAGAUGCAGAACGUCUCUGGCCAUCCUCACCUCCUCGGCUGCCCCAGGCUCACCUCAUGGGAACGCCCCUCCCAGCCAGGAGGAGGUGCUGGGAGCUGGGCCAUGCGCACACACACAGCCAUACCUCGCUCUGAGCAGAAGGUGCGUCCUCUUCCCUGUGAUGCUGUGCUGGCAGGACGGGUGUUCCCAGAGCUGCUGUUCUUCUGCCGGCGCUGGAGCAGCAUCAGGCGUUGGUCCUCAUCACAUGCUGGAGGGGAGAGUGGUGUCCCAGGACUCCGUGGCUCAUCUGCAGCAGAGACCAAAGAAAUUCCUGUUAUCAACUUUCAGUAUCGCUAUCAACUCUGUCUAUCAGCUAUCUCACAAUGUCUCUGUCCCCUAUUUCCCAAUCAAAUAUCCCAGUAUGAUAUAACUAUCUAUCUCACUAGCAACUCUUUUGCUUUCCACUAAGUAUCUUCGAUCUACACACCAUCUAUCAAUUACCUGUCUUGCUAUGCACUGUCUUUCCACUAUCUCACUACCAACUAUUUUUCUUGCUAUCAACUGUCUUGCUAUACACUAGGUUUCUUACUAUCCACCAACUCUCUCCCUGUCAAUUCUUUUGCUGUCCACUAUCAACCCAAGAACUGUCUCACUAUCCAACGCUUUCAGCCCCCCACAGCCCCAGGGCUGCCCUACCCCUGCCCCUCGCACAGCCCGCACUGGGCUGCCAGCCCAUCACCUGCAGCUGCCCUGGUGGGGCCGCAGCUGCAAGCGGGGCAGUGCGGGGCUGCUGGGGCUGCCAGGGAGGCGGCUGCAGCACGAGUACCUUCCUGUGAGCAGAAGGCGCGUCUUCUUCUCCGUGAUGCUCUGCUGGCAGGACGGGUCUCUGCAGAGCUGCUGUUCUUCUGCCAGCACUGGGGCAGCAUCAGGUGUUGCUCUUCACCCCAUGCUGGCGGGGAGAGUGGUAUCCCAGGAUGCAGUAGCACAUCUGAAACAGAGAUUCUUUUUAGCAACUUUCUAUAUCAUACUCUAUAAAUUAACUACCUUUCAGUCACCCAUCUUUCUAUCCUGCAUCCCCCUAUCAGCUAUCUGGCUAUGAUCUAACUACAUCACUACUAACUCUUGCUUACUGCUAACUACCUUGCUAUCCACAAACUACUUCUCUAACAAUAACCCACCUAUCUGCUAUCUGUUCACUACCUUUAUACCACCAUCAGCUAUCUAUCUCACUAUCUAUGUCACUAUCAACUAAUCUACAUCACUAUCAAGUAAUCUAUGUCACUAUCAACUAAUCUACGUCGCUAUCAACUAAUCUACGUCGCUAUCAACUAUCAUGCUACCCACUAUCUAUCUAUACAACAACUAUCUCUAUCUCCUCACAUUCCUCAUCUACAUCUACCGGCCCCUGAUCCCCCCGGGGCUGCUCUCCUCCCGUCCCUCACACUGCCCGCUCUGGGCUGCCAGCCCGUGAUCUCCCUGCUGGUAGGCGGGGCUGCUGGGGGCUGCUGGCGGCUGCGAAGGAAGCCGGGGGCUGCAGCACGGCCAGAGGAGGGGUUGCGAAGGGAGCCGGGGGCUGCAGCACGGCCAGAGGAGGGGCUGCAGCCAAGGAAGCCAGGGGCUGCAGCACGGCCAGAGGGGCUGCAGCCACCACCGGCCCCAGCAGCACGGGCACUGCCAGCCAGGGGUGGCAAGGGCAGGCAGGG
ensembl:lncRNA